rnacentral:rRNA from 1 species
UACGUAGGGUGCGAGCGUUGUCCGGAAUUAUUGGGCGUAAAGGGCUCGUAGGCGGCUUGUCACGUCGGAUGUGAAAGCUCGGGGCUUAACCCCGAGUCUGCAUUCGAUACGGGCUAGCUAGAGUGUGGUAGGGGAGAUCGGAAUUCCUGGUGUAGCGGUGAAAUGCGCAGAUAUCAGGAGGAACACCGGUGGCGAAGGCGGAUCUCUGGGCCAUUACUGACGCUGAGGAGCGAAAGCGUGGGGAGCGAACAGG